rnacentral:tRNA from 1 species
GGGGAUGUGGCUCAAGUGGUAGAGCGCUCGCCUGGCACACAUGCCUGGCAUGUGUGCGGCCUGGGUUCCAUCCUCAGCACCACA